ensembl:snRNA U2 U2 spliceosomal RNA
AUCGCUUCUUGGCCUUUUGGCUAAAAUCAAAUGUAGUAUCUGUUCUUUUCUUUUUUUGUACCAGGGAUAGAACUCAGGACCUUGC